rnacentral:rRNA from 1 species
UACGUAGGGCGCAAGCGUUGUCCGGAAUUAUUGGGCGUAAAGAGCUCGUAGGCGGCUUGUCGCGUCUGUUGUGAAAGCCCGGGGCUUAACCCCGGGUCUGCGGUCGAUACGGGCAGGCUAGAGUUCGGUAGGGGAGACUGGAAUUCCUGGUGUAGCAGUGAAAUGCGUAGAUAUCAGGAGGAACACCGGUGGCGAAGGCGGUCAUCUGGCCCGGUACUGACGCUCAGGCACGAAAGUGUGGGUAGCAAACAGG